AUAUGCCAAAGGCCUUUGUGAAUGUCACUCAAAGUUGCAAACUUGUUUCCCAAAAAUAUUAUGAGUGGCAACAUGGGUGUUUGAUACUCGAGCAAAUUACAAAAGAAUAUUGCCAGCAGAUGCCAGGGUAUCUUACAUGGUUAGAAACUCCAAUCCAACAACAUCAAUGUGUUAUCUCAUGGUCAACGCCCGUACUGAAUUAUCAUUGCAGUAGGAUAACGUUACGGAAUGAGAGGGUGAGGGAAGAAGAAGUCUGUCAAAAUAUUACUCAAACUCAGUCUUUAGAAGAUGCAUGGGGAGCUAUAUGGGGACCGAGCUUACUAGAAACUUAUAGUUAUUUGGGAGAGGUUCAUUGGUGUGUACAAUGAAGUGGAAAGAAGAAUCAAACUCAUACAAGUGUAAUGAAUUUACAGACUACUGAAAGGAGAAUGAAAGAUCAGAAGGAAAUGUGGAAUUGUACUCAAGUAAUAACUUGUGAUACACCCGAGACACAAAUAGGACUAGUACCUGUCAGGGUUCUAUUGAAAUGGGGAUGUGAGUGUAGGGGAUAUAAUCAUACUAUCAGAGAAGAAAUAAAAGGGGAUAGAAGUGGGAAACGAAUUAUUAGUUGCAAAUCUACCACAAUAAGAAGUCCAGGAAAUUUAGUAUGGGUAAUUGGGCAUGGGGAAUGGACUACUCACAUACCUAUCGAUGGACCAGUUACUCAAAUUACGUUAGGAAUCCCAACCUUAUGCCCACUGUGGAAACAAUUGAAAUUGAAGGGAAAAGUUAAAAGAGAUUUAGAUGAGAAGGACCAAUGGCAUGAACCAGAUAGUGGAGUAAAAUUUGGGUGGGCAUUAGAAUCCCUCUUUUCACCAGUUGCAGCUUAUCAGAACAGAGACAUGCUUUAUAAGCUAAUAGGAGAGACAGAAAGGUUAGCAGCCACUACUAGGAAAGGGUUUAGAGAUUUAAAUCUCCAAUUACAAGCCACCAGUAGAAUGACUUUAGAAAAUCGAAUGGCACUAGACCUAAUAUUACUAAAAGAACAUGGAGUAUGCGGCUACUUAAGUCAGAAAAUUGACCAUUGCUGUAUCCAUAUCCCAAAUGUAACGGUCAGCAUAGAACAAGACAUAUCCCAAUUGGAAAGGGUGGAAGACAAAACUAGGGGAUUAGAACGUCAGGCAGAACAUAAUUGGAUUGGGGAAAUAUUCUGUUCUAUGGGGCUCCAGGUCUCUG
rnacentral:lncRNA from 1 species